rnacentral:sRNA from 1 species
AGGCCGAUUUGCUAAAACGAUGUCGUUUUUCGUCAAGAAGCAUUCUUCGGCUGCCGUUGGAGAUGAGAUGAUAACGGCAAGGCGAGAGCCGAGGCGUAGAGAAAAGACGGGGCCGAGGGAGUGGGAGAGAUGGCUGAGAGUCCGGUGUAGCAGUGGCUUUUUGAGGAGGUGAAGGUGUCCGAUGAUCGGAAAACAUAUAUUUGGCGACGGUGGAAGGUUUUUGUUAGGUUUAGUGACUAGGAGAACAAUCUUGACGAUGAAAAUGGCAACAAGAGUAGUCAGAAUAAGUAAAAUACAAUCCAUAUA